UUGAUAGCUUGGCAGACUGAAGUCUUCUGCUUAUUCACAGAACAAACACAGCAUGGGCAGCAGCAAUGCAAGCUUCCCCACACCAUUCUGCCAAUGUGCCUCAACCCUGAUCCGGAGGGACCAUCUCUAGGGCUGAGAGGGUAGUUCAUUCAUACGCUGCUUUUAUCUUUGGCAUUC
rnacentral:sRNA from 1 species